rnacentral:lncRNA from 1 species
GGGUCGACUUUGAAUUUUUUUUUUUAGAUAAAGGUUAGAUUUAAUUAUAUUAUUGUAAUAUUUCUAUUAGUUUGUUAUUUUGUGGUAGUUUACAGUUCGUAGAUAAAUUUCGUUCGACUUUUAGAAUUUUUUUUGUGUAAAUUUAAGUUUAAUUGUAUUGUUUUGGUAUCACUUUUAUCGUAUUAUUUUUUUGCAGUUUACAAGUGAUAGAUAAAUGUUGGUUGACUUUGAGGAAUUUUUUUAUGUAAAAGUUAGGUUUAGUUGUAUUAUUUAG